CAUAAUCAUUAGCUUUUUAAUUGUGAGCUUGUAUGAAUGGUUAAACAAAAGAAAUGCUGUCUCUUUUUUAAAAUUUGAAUUUAACUUUUGAGUGAAAAGGCUUAAAUAUAUUAAGGGGACGAUAAGACCCUAUAAAGCUUUAUAAGUAAUUAUAAGCAUUUCUGAGUUAAAGAUAAAAGAAGUAUUUAUAUUGCUUAUUAUGUUGGGGCGACACAGAUAAAAAUUAGUAACUGUCAGGAAAAAAAACAUACAUUUAUGAGAACGUAUGAUCCUUUAUAAAGAUUAAAAGACAAAGUUACUUUAGGGAUAACAGCGUUAUUCUUUUUGAGAGUCCUUAUCGAAAAAAGAGUUUGCGACCUCGAUGUUGAAUCAUAAAAUCUUUAUAGUGCAGGAGCUAUAAAAA
rnacentral:rRNA from 1 species